rnacentral:rRNA from 1 species
AUGUCUUCCUCUGCCACCUCCCACUCAAGCCUCAAUGGCCAGGUUCCGGAGAAACUCUCACGCACGAAUUAUGUGCUCUGGCGUACACAGAUCACGCCUCAGCUGAGAGGGGCAGGUCUCUUCGGCUAUGCCGAUGUCACCAUGCCAGAACCAGCACGCCUUCUCGUCACCAAGGACAAGGACGGGAAGGAAUCUUCCGAGCCCAACCCUCUCCACCCCAUCUGGGUCAAGGAGGACCAGCAGGUGCUCGGCUACCUACUCAGCAAUCUCUCCAAGGAGGUGCUGAUCAUAGUGACCGCGAUCACCACCGCACCCGGCCUCUGA